CAUAAAUCUACAACUUGCGAAUCCAAAUCCUUGAUUUUUGCUAACUUUUCGUCCAACAAACUACCUAUAGUUUGUAAUCUCCCCGUAUUUACUUCGCUUUGCUGCAAAAUAUACUCUGCUUCCUUCGUUAACUUCGUAAUAACAGCUCGGUUGCCCGCCCGAACCGCCUUUAUUCUCGCCAAAUUUUCAGUCAUAUUUCUCGUCGUUAAUCGCUAUAAUUUCAUUGUUUCGCUUUAGAACCGGUAUCUAACAUCUCAAAUAACUUUCUCUCGCCGCCACGUUGGUCGCCAUGUAGUAAAUCGAUCGAAUAAACCGUUAAA